rnacentral:rRNA from 1 species
GGAGUGAGCCUGGGAAACUGGGUCUAAUACCGGAUAGGAGCCAUUUUUAGUGUGAUGGUUGGAAAGUUUUUUCGGUGUAGGAUGAGCUCGCGGCCUAUCAGCUUGUUGGUGGGGUAAUGGCCUACCAAGGCGGCGACGGGUAGUCGGCCUGAGAGGGUGGACGGCCACAUUGGGACUGAGAUACGGCCCAG